rnacentral:rRNA from 1 species
AUUGAACGCUGGCGGCAGGCUUAACACAUGCAAGUCGAACGAGUGGCGGACGGGUGAGUAAUGCUUGGGAAUCUGGCUUAUGGAGGGGGAUAACGACGGGAAACUGUCGCUAAUACCGCGUACCAUAGGAUGAGCCCAAGUGGGAUUAGGUAGUUGGUGGGGUAAUGGCCUACCAAGCCGACGAUCUCUAGCUGGUCUGAGAGGAUGACCAGCCACACCGGGACUGAGACACGGCCCGGACUCCUACGGGAGGCAGCAGUGGGGAAUAUUGCGCAAUGGGGGCAACCUGACGCAGCCAUGCCGCGUGAAUGAAGAAGGCCUUCGGGUUGUAAAGUUCUUUCGGUGACGAGGCGUUAAUCACAGAAGAAGCACCGGCUAACUCCGUGCCAGCAGCCGCGGUAAUAC